rnacentral:rRNA from 1 species
UACCAGCACCCCGAGUGGUCGGGGCGUUUAUUGGGCCUAAAGCAUCCGUAGCCGGUUCUACAAGUCUUCCGUUAAAUCCACCUGCUUAACAGAUGGGCUGCGGAAGAUACUAUGGAGCUAGGAGGCGGGAGAGGCAAGCGGUACUCGAUGGGUAGGGGUAAAAUCCGUUGAUCCAUUGAAGACCACCAGUGGCGAAGGCGGCUUGCCAGAACGCGCUCGACGGUGAGGGAUGAAAGCUGGGGGAGCAAACCGG